rnacentral:rRNA from 1 species
AGAGUUUGAUCCUGGCUCAGAAUCAACGCUGGCGGCGUGCCUAACACAUGCAAGUCGUGCGCGAAAGGGACUUCGGUCCUGAGUAGAGCGGCAAACGGGUGAGUAACGCGUGGGUGACCUACCCUCGAGUGGGGGAUAACAGUCCGAAAGGAUUGCUAAUACCGCAUGACAUCCUGUCCUUGGACGGAUGGAGAUCAAAGCCGGGGAUCGCAAGACCUGGCGCUUGAGGAGGGGCCCGCGUUCGAUUAGCUAGUUGGUGAGGUAACGGCUCACCAAGGCGACGAUCGAUAGCCGGCCUGAGAGGGCGGACGGCCACACUGGGACUGAGACACGGCCCAGACUCCUACGGGAGGCAGCAGUGGGGAAUUGUUCGCAAUGGGCGCAAGCCUGACGACGCAACGCCGCGUGGAGGAUGAAGAUCUUCGGGUCGUAAACUCCUGUCGACCGGGACGAAAUUCACGUGGGCUAACAUCCCGCGUGAUUGACGGUACCGGUGGAGGAAGCCCCGGCUAACUCCGUGCCAGCAGCCGCGGUAAUUC